ensembl:lncRNA
AUGUCAACAUUCACAACUAUCCAGUUACCGCGUUGGGAUAGUGGCAAGCUGAAAGUUCGCUUCAUAUACUUGUCAAAUAGAAGCUCUUUCAAAGUGACGAGCUGUCCUAUCGAGGGAUCAAUGGUUCCUCUCUUUUUAGGGGCUGAUCUCUUCUCAAACACUGAUAUCCGCACAGAGAACCAUCCCAGAUAUCAUGCAAAGUUUGCAAAGAAAGGAUUGGCAACUAAACUAAAUUUCUCCUCAGCUUUUAGAUUCCAUGGACUGAGGGUACCCACUGCCAACAAUUGCAUGUGGUUCUACAGCAUCCAAGGUGUUUUUCGAGUGGCCUUUGAAAUGUAUAGUAAACAAGAGCAGCUCUCUGUGUUGGAGAACUUUCAGGAGGUAUGGAAGUCCCGCCUAAAUGACAUCCCACUAAAGAUGAACUACAACCUGAGUGUCCAGCUGGAUCCUCCACCACCCCAGAUCGUUGUGGAGAUGUAUGACCAAGACCUAAAGCUCAAACUAAUGUCCCGGAAUCCCCAAGGUUACCCAUCUCAAUCUGUGGAAAUCCCAGAGGCAGACACAGGCCCUUCAGGUGACACUUCAGCAGACCACGAUUACUGCUUUCUGCCAAAUGAGAGUAUGCCAGCACAGCCAGUCCAUCUAUGUCCCUCCAUCUUAAGUCAAAAACUGCAGGGCUUGGAGGAAAAGCUGAGCUCUGAGAAACAGCUGGGGACCGACCAGCAGGAGACCAUACUGCUUCUGUUGGAGAGCAUUGAGCGCUGUGUGAGCAGGCCCCUGGAGGAGAGGGAUGUGGCGGACAUUGUACUAGCUCUGCUAGAGGCUCGGAAGUGGGGCUCUGUGUACUCCAGCCACCUGCUUCACUCUAUAGGCUGCUGGCUUGGCCAGCAGUUCCAUGGAGCCAACAGUAGUAUCAGCCAGCAGGUAGAGGGCUUCAAGGUGCGACACAUAGAGCGAAUCACAGAUCUGCCACCUGCAGAGGAACUGGCCUCAGAGCUUUUUCCAGAGGCCAUGCGAACACUGCUGCUCCACUGGAUGGGUCUGAGUGAUGACUCAACCCUGUGGAAGAGACAGAGUGAGUACCCCAUCCUGCUCCUAAUCCUGGAGUUUGCCAACCACAACCUCAUCACUGGUGUUGCACAUGUGCUUUACUCAAGUCUUAAGGUGAAUUUAGAUUUAGCCAACUCAAAAGAGUUAAGUACCGAAGAAAGUAAAACUACUGUUGUAAAAAAAAAUACUCAAGUAAAAAUUACUUGA